rnacentral:tRNA from 2 species
GCGCACGUAGCUCAGUGGCAGUAGCAUUCGCCUUAUAAGCGAAAGGUCGCAGGUUCGAUCCCUGCCGUGCGCA